CCCCUCUCGCCGCUUGCCUCGCCCAGCGCAGCCCCGGCCGCUGGGCGCACCCGUCCCGUUCGUCCCCGGACGUUGCUCUCUACCCCGGGAACGUCGAGACUGGAGCGCCCGAACUGAGCCACCUUCGCGGACCCCGAGAGCGGCGGCGCGACUCACCGCGGAGGCGCCCGGACGCGUCAAUGUCCCCCAGGGCAAGGCCUGAACCAGGUCGCGAGGGUCUGUCUCCCGUCUGGGGAGCUGAACUGCCCGAGACACUGUCGCAGUCGCGGGGACUUGUCUGGAGCGGCGGGGUCUGAGCCCAAGUCGGAAGCCGCCGCCGCCGCCAGCGUCCCGUGCGCCUGCCGCCCCGGGACCAGCCGCGAAACUUCUUCUCGGGACGGAGACAGCGCUCGCCGCCCGGGCCGAGAAUACACUCCACACCUCGGGACUCCAUAAUAUUGGACAAGGCUGGAAGGCCCAUUUGGCUCCUGCAGCCUCUUAUGCAGGAGGACCUCCUGAGGCUUCGGGCAGGAGCUGGUGCACACCUGGAGGAGAGUGCUGGUGAAUGGCAGGUGUGUGCCUCAGUGUCCUUGCUGCCAGGGUGUCAGCCCUGCUUCACCACUGGCCGUUUGUCUCUGUCCCCUCCACUGGCCUCUUGAAGCACAGAGACCCUCCGGGUACUUUCCUUCCUCUGGGCUUCCACUCAUGCUAUUCCCUGCUCCCUUUUUCUACCUGGAGACCCCCAUUCCUCCUCCUCCUCUGCUGCCCUCACCUCCACCUGGGCCCUCCCAGCUCCCGGGAGAUGGCUGAACCCCACUCCCCACCCGCUAGUCAUCCUCUUCAGCGGUCCUCCCAGAGCUGUCCUCAGCAUGGCAGCCUCCACAGCCCCUGGGUGUCACCCCCGGUUUCGUGUCUGCCUCGGACUCCAGACCUGCCCCUCCCAGGCUGGCCCAGAUGGAUCCUCUACAGUGACUAACCCAAACCAGCACCAGGCAGGGACCCAAUAAACCUUUGUGAAUGGAGUAAAUGA
ensembl:lncRNA DIO3OS DIO3 opposite strand upstream RNA